ACUAAGCGUACACGGUGGAUGCCCUGGCAGUCAGAGGCGAUGAAGGACGUGCUAAUCUGCGAAAAGCGUCGGUAAGGUGAUAUGAACCGUUACAGCCGGCGAUGUCCGAAUGGGGAAACCCAGUGCAAUUCGUUGCACUAUCGUUAACUGAAUACAUAGGUUAACGAGGCGAACCGGGGGAACUGAAACAUCUAAGUACCCCGAGGAAAAGAAAUCAACCGAGAUUCCCCCAGUAGCGGCGAGCGAACGGGGAGCAGCCCAGAGUCUGAAUCAGCUUGUGUGUUAGUGGAACGGUCUGGAAAGUCCGACGGUACAGGGUGAUAGUCCCGUACACCAAAAUGCACAGGCUGUGAACUCGAAGAGUAGGGCGGGACACGUGGUAUCCUGUCUGAAUAUGGGGGGACCAUCCUCCAAGGCUAAAUACUCCUGACUGACCGAUAGUGAACCAGUACCGUGAGGGAAAGGCGAAAAGAACCCCGGCGAGGGGAGUGAAAAAGAACCUGAAACCGUGUACGUACAAGCAGUGGGAGCACCUUCGGGUGUGACUGCGUACCUUUUGUAUAAUGGGUCAGCGACUUAUAUUCUGUAGCAAGGUUAACCGUAUAGGGGAGCCGCAGGGAAACCGAGUCUUAACUGGGCGUUAAGUUGCAGGGUAUAGACCCGAAACCCGGUGAUCUAGCCAUGGGCAGGUUGAAGGUUGGGUAACACUAACUGGAGGACCGAACCGACUAAUGUUGAAAAAUUAGCGGAUGACUUGUGGCUGGGGGUGAAAGGCCAAUCAAACCGGGAGAUAGCUGGUUCUCCCCGAAAGCUAUUUAGGUAGCGCCUCGUGAAUUCAUCUUCGGGGGUAGAGCACUGUUUCGGCUAGGGGGUCAUCCCGACUUACCAACCCGAUGCAAACUACGAAUACCGAAGAAUGUUAUCACGGGAGACACACGGCGGGUGCUAACGUCCGUCGUGAAGAGGGAAACAACCCAGACCGCCAGCUAAGGUCCCAAAGUCAUGGUUAAGUGGGAAACGAUGUGGGAAGGCACAGACAGCCAGGAUGUUGGCUUAGAAGCAGCCAUCAUUUAAAGAAAGCGUAAUAGCUCACUGGUCGAGUCGGCCUGCGCGGAAGAUGUAACGGGGCUAAACCAUGCACCGAAGCUGCGGCAGCGACACUAUGUGUUGUUGGGUAGGGGAGCGUUCUGUAAGCCUGCGAAGGUGUGCUGUGAGGCAUGCUGGAGGUAUCAGAAGUGCGAAUGCUGACAUAAGUAACGAUAAAGCGGGUGAAAAGCCCGCUCGCCGGAAGACCAAGGGUUCCUGUCCAACGUUAAUCGGGGCAGGGUGAGUCGACCCCUAAGGCGAGGCCGAAAGGCGUAGUCGAUGGGAAACAGGUUAAUAUUCCUGUACUUGGUGUUACUGCGAAGGGGGGACGGAGAAGGCUAUGUUAGCCGGGCGACGGUUGUCCCGGUUUAAGCAUGUAGGCUGGUUGUCCAGGCAAAUCCGGAUAAUCAAGGCUGAGGUGUGAUGACGAGGCACUACGGUGCUGAAGUAACAAAUGCCCUGCUUCCAGGAAAAGCCUCUAAGCAUCAGGUAACAUCAAAUCGUACCCCAAACCGACACAGGUGGUCAGGUAGAGAAUACCAAGGCGCUUGAGAGAACUCGGGUGAAGGAACUAGGCAAAAUGGUGCCGUAACUUCGGGAGAAGGCACGCUGGUGUGUAGGUGAAGUCCCUGCGGAUGGAGCUGAGACCAGUCGAAGAUACCAGCUGGCUGCAACUGUUUAUUAAAAACACAGCACUGUGCAAACACGAAAGUGGACGUAUACGGUGUGACGCCUGCCCGGUGCCGGAAGGUUAAUUGAUGGGGUUAUCCGUAAGGAGAAGCUCUUGAUCGAAGCCCCGGUAAACGGCGGCCGUAACUAUAACGGUCCUAAGGUAGCGAAAUUCCUUGUCGGGUAAGUUCCGACCUGCACGAAUGGCGUAAUGAUGGCCAGGCUGUCUCCACCCGAGACUCAGUGAAAUUGAACUCGCUGUGAAGAUGCAGUGUACCCGCGGCAAGACGGAAAGACCCCGUGAACCUUUACUAUAGCUUGACACUGAACAUUGAGCCUUGAUGUGUAGGAUAGGUGGGAGGCUUUGAAGCGUGGACGCCAGUCUGCGUGGAGCCAACCUUGAAAUACCACCCUUUAAUGUUUGAUGUUCUAACGUUGGCCCCUUACCGGGGUUGCGGACAGUGUCUGGUGGGUAGUUUGACUGGGGCGGUCUCCUCCCAAAGCGUAACGGAGGAGCACGAAGGUUAGCUAAUCCUGGUCGGACAUCAGGAGGUUAGUGCAAUGGCAUAAGCUAGCUUGACUGCGAGCGUGACGGCGCGAGCAGGUGCGAAAGCAGGUCAUAGUGAUCCGGUGGUUCUGAAUGGAAGGGCCAUCGCUCAACGGAUAAAAGGUACUCCGGGGAUAACAGGCUGAUACCGCCCAAGAGUUCAUAUCGACGGCGGUGUUUGGCACCUCGAUGUCGGCUCAUCACAUCCUGGGGCUGAAGUAGGUCCCAAGGGUAUGGCUGUUCGCCAUUUAAAGUGGUACGCGAGCUGGGUUUAGAACGUCGUGAGACAGUUCGGUCCCUAUCUGCCGUGGGCGCUGGAGAAUUGAGGGGGGCUGCUCCUAGUACGAGAGGACCGGAGUGGACGCAUCACUGGUGUUCGGGUUGUCAUGCCAAUGGCACUGCCCGGUAGCUAAAUGCGGAAGAGAUAAGUGCUGAAAGCAUCUAAGCACGAAACUUGCCCCGAGAUGAGUUCUCCCUGAGACUUUAAGUCUCCUGAAGGAACGUUGAAGACGACGACGUUGAUAGGCCGGGUGUGUAAGCGCAGCGAUGCGUUGAGCUAACCGGUACUAAUGAACCGUGAGGCUUAACC
rnacentral:rRNA from 1 species